GACUGAAGAAUUGCAGCAAGUUACGUAGAAAAAUGCAACAGCGAUGUCUCACGAUCAUCAUACUUCUGUGUUUCGUCACAGUCACAACGCUGACGAGCAAUGAAGCAGCCCCCCAAUCGAACCGUGGUUCAACAGCUGUUACGGCAUCACCACAGACUCCGCUCGACUUUUCAAACAUAUUCGCCGAAGUACUCAAACUUUUGGCAACAUACGACUCGCAGGGUCUAUCGUCGGUUGCGAACCAGAUAGCUAAACUACUCUGGAAUACUUACUUUUCUGCGUCUUAAACUGAAUUAGAAUUGAUGGGAACAAACAAAAUCGUUUCCCAUACUUUCGAUUUCACGAUGCAACGUUUCUUUGCUGUUUUAACAUCCUAAUUGAAAAAGUUCAUGAAUUAGUUGCUGGCAAAUUCAAAACUCGAGAAACUUCAAAAGAGGAAUUUUUUUUUUUAGUUAAUUAGCUAAUGCGAAUGCCUCCAACGUGCCUGAUUUGCAUGCUGUAUUUUUGCGCAUACCUCGUGGACAUUGCGAUAAAAUUCCGCAAAAAUUCGUUCGUCGACGUGUGAAAUCGUCAAUGUAUAUUUUCCACUAUUUUACAAAACUUGUACGUAGGCUGUGGCGGAAUAGAUGCAAGAAACGCGUCGGCCUGUAACGAACGGAUUGUUCUCGGGAAAUCGACUAAAUCGCAGAACGUGUGAAAAAUGCGUUCUUGUCCUGUACAAAAUAUUACAAAAACAAGAAAAAUUUCCUAAGUUUAAAGUCCGACGACAAUGCGAGCGUUCUCAUAGCGUAUAAAAUGUUGUUAUCGUAUUUCCGACCUUGUAUGAGUGUUUAUUAAAAGAUUGCACACUAGUAUAUCAAUGGUUAAUGUAGAAAAUUAAAUGGGAUUUCCAGUAGAAAUAUAUAUGGUUUAUUAAAUAAGAUAAAAGAACGGUAAAAUGAAAUAAAACAACACACACAAUA